ensembl:lncRNA
GAACUAUUGAUAAUACAGUGUGAUUUCAUGAGUGUUCAUUAUCUGUCUGAUAUCACUCUUUUGCCUCUUUGAAAAGGUUUUAAAAGGCAAAAAUAUUGCUAAAGGAAGAAGGAAGGAUUUUGAGACAUUUCAUCACAUCUCAUGGGCCAUUUCUGUAUCAAGGGAUGGAAAUGUAAAAUGCAGACUUUGGAUCUACAACAGGAAUGAAACUCCAUUCUACACAGAUACAUCUAGCACAGGUCCUGGCUGGUUUUGUACCAUGGCAUGCACAACCAUUAUAGAGGACAGUCGUCAUUUGUCAUCCCAAUACCCAAAACUGUGUCUAGCACAUAACAAAUGCUGCUGCUGCUAAGUCACUUCAGUCGUGCCCGACUCAGUGCAACCCCAUAGGACGGCAGCCGACCAGGUUCCCCCGUCCCUGGGAUUCUCCAGGCAAGAACACUGGAGUGGGUUGCCAUUUCUUUCUCCAGUGCAUGAAAGUGAAAAGUGAAAGUGAAGUCACUCAGUCGUGUCCGACUCUUAGCGACCCCAUGGACUACAGCCCACCAGGCUCCUCUGUCCAUGGGAUUCUCCAGGCAAGAGUACUGGAGUGGAGUGCCAUUGCCUUCUCCGAGAAGAAAUGCUAGACAGAGCCUUUUAAUGGGGAAAAAAAAGUCUUCUCCCUGCUUCUUCGGAUGUGGCUGGAUUUCAGCAAAUAUGUGUGGACCAAAGACACUGUGCUUUGGAAAGACACCAUAUGGUUACAAUAGGAGCCACAGAGCUCCUGCUAAGCAUCCAGCCAGGAGACCUACAGCAGUGCUCCUAAAAACAUGAAAGGCCUUACUGCCAAGAUUAAAGAACUUACAGCACAUUGCCAAUGGGAAAGUCAGUGGACUUCAGAUUACCUGGAUGAUAACAAUGAAACACUGAGCCCCCUUUCCUCCUGACUGCAAGUUGUGUUGAAUGAGAUCCAGAGUCUCUUCUCCCAGUUUCUCCACCUCACCCUCUCUGCUCAUCAUCUCUCUGCCAAGUCACUUACCCAAACAAGGAAUGACGUCUGAACAAGCACACCAGCAGCCAGAAGAUUCGAAGCUUGGAUUCUGGGUUCAGAUUAAAGAUAAAUGAACGAAGUUCAAAGAUGGAAACUCUAGGGACUAAAGAGACAAGUUAUUGCAUGAUGGACACUUUUGGCUGCACAUUUUCAAUGAAAAGACUUGUGCAGCCUCCAGAUAUAUAGAGGAAUCUUAACAGUGGUGAGAUGUAAUGGGAAGAAGGGGAAAGGCGGGAACCUUUAUGAGGGUUAAUUGGUGCGUGAACUUGAUACUAUGUUUUUGUAAUCCUUACGACAGCAGCAACAGUGGCUGCUGCUUUUCAAGUGAAGACAAUAAAGCACCGGCUGUAACGGGCACAGUGGUGGAGAGGCAGAAUUCAAGGACUUGUCCAGGGUCAAAGUCCACAAUUGCUCUACUGGCCAGACCACUUCCCAGGCAUCAAGGUGCUCUUAGCAAUACGCUUUCUAGGCACUAGGAAGAGUACAGAGGUACACCAACCUGCACACCAAGAACUUAGGAUCUAGUGGAGCAGACUGGACUUGCUUACAAAAGUGCAGCAGGGCACAGUGUAGGUCUAGAACAGACCAGAUUGGGCACAUUCAAGGUGGUAUGGCCAUAGACUAAGAUGAGAACAGCAUCCUGUUGCUCUGUAUGUGUUCCAUGAGGGUUUGCUCCCCACUCCUUUUUUAAAUAUUUCAAUAUUACUUUAAGGCAACCUACUGAAUGUGAGAAAAUAUAUCUGAUAAAGGGUUAAUAUCCAAAAUAUAUAAAGAACUCAUACAACUCAAUAGCAAAAAAAAAACAACAUCUGAUUUAAAAAAUGGGCAGAGGAUCUGAAUAGACACUUUUCCAAAGACAUAUCAAUGGACAACAGGCACAUGAAAAGGUGCUCAACAUCAUUAAUCAUAAGGAAAAUGAAAAUCAAAAUCACAAUGAGACAUCACCUCAUACCUAUGGUGGCUACUAUCAAAAAGACAAGAAAUAGCAAAUGUCAGCAAGGAUGUAAAGAAAAGGAAACUCGUGCACUGUUGGUGUUAAUGUAAAUUGAUACAACCGCUAUGGAAAGGCACAUGGAGUUUUCUCAAAAAAUUAAAAACAGAACUACCAUAUGAUCCAGCAAUUCCACUUCUGUAUUUUUAUCUGAGAAAAUGAAAACACUAACUCAAGAAGAUAUAUGUACCCCCAUAUUCAUUGAAGCAUUGUUUAUUGUUUAUAAUAGCCAAGAUACAAAAGCAACCCAAGUGCCCAUAAAUAGAUGAAUGGAUAAAGAAAUGCAAUAGACACACACAAACAAAAUGGAAUACUACUCAGCCAUAAAAAAUGAAAUCUUAUCAUUUAUGACAGUAUGGAUGGGCCUCAAGGGCAUUAAGUGAAGUAAGAGAAAGAUAGAUAUCAUACUAUCUCAUUUAUAUGUGGAAUCUAAAAAAUAAAACAGCAACAACAUCAGAAAAAC